rnacentral:rRNA from 1 species
GACGAGGGAUCCUAGCGUUGCUCGGAAUUAUUGGGCGUAAAGCGGGUGUAGGUGGCUUGGUAAGUCAGAUGUGAAAGCCCUGGGCUUAACCCAGGAAGUGCAUUUGAUACUGCUGAGCUUGAGUGCGAGAGAGGUUAAUAGAAUACCUGGUGUAGUGGUGAAAUUCGUAGAUAUCGGGAGGAACACCGGUGGCGAAGGCGGCGACCUGGGUCGAUACUGACGCUGAGGUGCGAAAGCGUGGGGAGCAAACAGG